CUGAGUGGAGGCUUCCACGACUCUGCCAGGGCUCCUGCCCUUGGUGGAGUCUUCCUGCUUGCCCCUGUGCCAUGCUGGCUGAGCUAAUUCAGGGAAAAAUAACCUUGAAAUGUGCUCUGUGUUGGGCCAAAUCAGCCCUGUGUGAUGGCUGUUUGCAUGGCCACAGACAGUGCCUGCUGCAAGGGAAGGGGCUGGGAAGGCAGGUCCUGCCUUGGCAGAAUUAGAGGGGUUUAAAUUGCAAGAGGACUGACUAGGGUUGAGCAGAAAGGAGAAGAAAUUAGUCCACAAAUCCCUGGAGCUGGCUGGCAUCAAUCCAAGCAGUCCCUGACCAGAACCCAGCACCCACCGAGCUGCUGGAUGACAUGCACCUGGCCUGAAGGAGCUGAUUGGAAGAAGACCUCAUGCCAUGGCAGAAAGGAGCUGGUUGGGAGGAGACCAUGAGUUUUAAGAAGCUGCAUUGGGUGCAGAAGAGCACAGGGACUGUGAUGGAGAGAGUCCUGCCUGGGCCAGAUGUGGCCUUAGAGACCAAAGGGGGAAUUGCAGUGGUGAGGCACAGCCUGGACCUGAUCCUGCCAUUUUUUUUCACGAGGAUCAAAAGGCCACUGAGAUUACCAAGCUUUCAACCUUCAACUCCCCCAGGACUUGGAGGCUGAGGGGGUCCUGUAUUGCUUUGGCCAAGCAAUCAAAGUUUAUAGAGGCUUCUCAGUAGGAUGGGUGGAAGAAACACAGAGAGCAGGAAGCAACUGCUGAAACUGCCAGUGAUUAAAAUGCAAUAAAAUGUUUGCCUUCUGCUGCUGAGCAAGAAGUGUGGCAUGUGUUUUGCUGAGGCAGCAGAAGUGGUUGUGUUCACUGAAUGAACAGCUAAUGAAAAGCAUUUCAAGCAGGAAGCAACGCUGAUGAAGAUUAUGAGCCUGCUUAUAUCUUGGAGAAUUAAAUGGCCUGGGCUGGAUACUCCUGUUUUACACUGGAUUUUGCAUUGAUCAAAGAGGAUUUACUGUGCUCUGCACCAGUGUGGGAAGAGUGGGAGUGCUCCUUUGUGCCAGAAGCUGCUGGUGAACAUCCCCCUGCCAGGGCUGUGUGUCAGCAGAACAAAUGCCCCUGGACAGGGCAGCUCAAGCAGAUCAUACUUCAGAGCAGAAUUCAUCUGGCAGCAGCCAUUUGUGCUGAAGCCAGUCCCACAGGAGCAGCACUGAGGUUCCAAUCAUGCUAAUUCCUCCUGGAUCUGGGCUGCAAACAGAGCUGGGUCAGCUAAAGGGAUGGCAGCAGACAUUUCCUCUUUAUUGGGGUGCCUUCACCUCCUCCUCCCCUCCUGCCACUGCUCUUAGCCAAGUCCUGGGGCAGCACCAGGCCCUGCUGUGCUCAGACUUGGUGGUCACAGGAGCAGCAGAGGGGUCCCCAGAGAUCCAGGCUGUGGGAUGGGGCUGGCAGGGAAACCCAGGAUGGCACCUGGGCUCUCCCACUC